UGGGGAAUUUUGGACAAUGGGCGCAAGCCUGAUCCAGCCAUGCCGCGUGAGUGAAGAAGGCCUUCGGGUUGUAAAGCUCUUUCGGUUGGGAGGAAAUUGCCUGGGUUAAUACCUCAGGUAGAUGACGGUACCAGCAUAAGAAGCACCGGCUAACUACGUGCCAGCAGCCGCGGUAAUACGUAGGGUGCGAGCGUUAAUCGGAAUUACUGGGCGUAAAGCGUGCGCAGGCGGUUGUGUAAGUCAGAUGUGAAAUCCCCGGGCUCAACCUGGGAACUGCAUUUGAGACUGCACGGCUAGAGUGUGGCAGAGGGGGUAGAAUUCCACGUGUAGCAGUGAAAUGCGUAGAGAUGUGAGGAAUACCGAUGGCGAAGGCAGCCCCUGGGCCAAUACUGACGCUCA
rnacentral:rRNA from 1 species